rnacentral:rRNA from 1 species
AUACGGAGGGGGCAAGCGUUGUUCGGAAUUACUGGGCGUAAAGGGCGCGUAGGCGGGAUGUCAAGUCAGGGGUGAAAGGCCUGGGCUCAACCUGGGAAUUGCCUUUGAAACUGACGUUCUUGAGUCCGGGAGAGGAUGGCGGAAUUCCCAGUGUAGAGGUGAAAUUCGUAGAUAUUCGGAGGAACACCAGAGGCGAAGGCGGCUUACUGGCUCGAUACUGACGCUGAGGCGCGAAAGCGUGGGGAGCAAACAGGAUUAGAAACCCCAGUAGUCC